AUGAAAAAGAGCAGAAAAAACAUAGUUAAUCAAAGGAAAUUGAUCAAAUACAAUAGGCCUAAACGGGAGAAUUAGGAUAAGGAAGUUCUGCUCAAGUGUCAACACAACAGCACCCGUUUAUCUACUGUUAAGAGAACACCGAACAAAUGAACUCUCACCUACAUUUAGAGAAAGUGUCCUUAAGUAUUUGCAUCUGACAGGCUGUAGCCCAUGUUAUUAUAGGAGGGGUCAAUUCUGCAAAAUCUGCAACAGCAGUUUAAUCCUAACAGGGUUUCUGCAACACAGCAGCAUACAGUUAUUCUCCUCCGGCUUAUAAAUAGGCAACUUUCUCAAUUUCUGUCUGAGCAGUUGAAUCCUCAGCCUGUAGCUCCUUCAAUCUUUAGUCACACCUAUUUCUCUCCAGUCCGAUUAAGACAAUAACACAUUUUAAUGCCUCUCAUGGUAUGUGGCCUAAAUUCUUAAUCACCAGAGAGCCAGAGAGCGCAGCUGGCAAAAAGCUAACCAUUUGGCAGGAGUCAGGGACAGCCGCUGGGAUACAAGAAGCCAUUGCUUUUCUAACAAGAGCUCAUUCUUCUCCAUCUUCUUCACUGUAGAUGUAAUCAUGUCCUCAACAAACAGACUCUAAACACCUCUUUUAAUAGCAGCAACAAAUCUCUGUUGAUCGGUGCCAGGGCAUGACAACAUCAUGGUGUCACACACACCAAAAGGCCAGACUGACAGCACCUUGGCAGCAGCCCGUACCGACUUAACGCCCAAAUGGACGGCUGCCCAGCCUGACCAGUGCUCUGACCACCAGUGCCCACAGAGGACUGAAACCACACCCUCCUCCCAACCAAUCAAAAAGGUUGUAUAUGGUCCUGCCUAAUCUGUCCUCUUUUCAGAUGGUCAAAGAAUUUUUCUCAUCACUGCUACUGUUUAUAACUCCAGGCAAAACCGUUUGACCUGCAGGCGCAGCACUUGCCACUGAUAUGCUUGAUAAGAAAAUGAACACUGCCACAUCUUAGAUCAGGCCACAAUACAAAACAUCACUGUGAGUGCAACUGAAUAAACCAGCCUCUGUCUUGUUGAUAGACCUGACUACGCCUUUGUUUAGGCGACAAACUACUCAACUGGUUGAAAUGAGAAACCAGCACCUUCAACACAUUGAAGCAAUUAUUCAACACAAUAGCCAGCCUUACAAUGUUUGGAGUACCUGGUGAUUUAGGUCAUGUCUCCAUGGUAGUUAAAGCAGGAUAUCAUGGAUCGAACUUAACCCAGCCAUGUGAUGUUCCCACUACCCCCCUUCAAACUAAACAAUACAGAUGUAAACUGGGCUAAAGUGAUGAACUCCUUUCAUUACAUAUAAUUGUCCCGCACCUGCUUUAUUUGCAGUCAAAGGAUUGUACACAUUUUUGCCCCUCCUAGUUUUAAAAUCACCCCUGCAGCGACAGGACCGACUCAGUCAUGCAACGAUCACAGGAAUGUGUCAUUGUGACAGUGUACUAAUGUCACUCUCUCUGUUCACAUGACUUUGAAACAACUCACUUACAACACGCCUCUUUGCAUUAUGCUUCCUAUCAUAUCAGUAGUUAUAACAUCAGUGCAGCAGAGGAAUUAUGUUUUUGUUGACAUGAAACAAUCAAACAUAGCCUCCUGUUUCUACGUCAAAGGCUACUACUUGUGUUAUCAGUGGGACCAGUAACAACAUGUUAUCAAUGUAAACAGGUGCCAAGGCUUGACUAGAGGCAUGUCCUGGAAUGGGAGGGUUUCUCAGAUAUUCAAAGGUAGUAAAUGCAUUUUGCAUUUGAGUUGUAUUUAGAUAUGUUAAAUACUUUGAACAGUCUAUUAUGGCAAAGACAGAAAUGUCAAAAGACUAUGACUUUGGAUAGGGUUUGGGCACAUUAUCUUUCGCCUGCUCCCUCCGUAUCUGACACGUCGCCUUGGUGGCUGCUUCCUGUUGCAUUCAGAGCUGUGGGAAACACGGAGUGUACUUUCAGAAAUCCACCCGAAAUACCAAAUCAAGUGGGGUUUUUCUUUAACAAGGACUCUUGAUAAGUAAGAUGACGUGAAAAACUAAACAGUGGUGACCUGCUGAUAUGGAAAAGCUGUAAUCUAAGAAGAGAGCCACAUACAAAACAGUGAUGGCCACUGGAGCAGAAGUGCACCAUUGCUCUGUAAACACAUUCAGAACAAUCAGCAGUCAGUUGUAAUACACAGAGACAUGGACACACACACACACACACACACACACCACACACACACACACACACACAGACACAGAUAAUUUCCCAGACGACAGUUAUGUAACAUAAAUGCACAACAGCAGAUGAUUUAUUAGUGAAAAUGUUAGCAAACUACUGUUUGUCUGUAUUUAUUUACUACAGUCUGUAUGCAUAUAUGAGAUUAUCUGUGGACCUUGUGUUUACUGUGUGUGUUUGUGCAUAUAUCUGUCAGUGUGUGUGUGUGUCUAUGCCUGUGUGUGUAUCAGAGUAUGCAAUGCCUCAAGAAUGCUCAAUACCGCUGCCCUGCCAAAUAUCAGUUAUGUAAUUGCAUCAUUUUCUUCAAGUCUGUUCCUGUGAACUGCUGUCACUUCACCUCCCUAAAUCUCCACCAUGUUCUUUCUUUUUUCUCUCUCUCUGUUUCCCUCCCUCUGCUCCCCUCCCUCCCUCGAUGUAUAAUACCCCUUUCCUCUUCUCUCCAGUUGUCUCUACACUCUUCACACCCUCUUCUAAUUCAUUAUUUUGCACAGCAUCUUUUAUCUCCCAUUGCCCCCUCUUCUUCUCUCUUUCUCUUGCAGACACUUGCUAUUCCCUUGCUUUCUGACACCCCACAUACUGUAUAUACCCCUCUCUUUUUCACACUCACACCCUCUUUACCUCUCUUUCUCUCUCUCUCUCUCUCUCUCUCUCUUUCUCUCUGUGUGUGUCUCUGUCUCUCCAGGGUACAGUCUGUGCUGACAGCCUGUUCCUCCAGAAUUGAUUUCUACCCAGAAUGCAAUAAAAGUCAGUGAAGAGAGAAGAGGAGCAAGAGGUCAACACCAUCCAGUGGGUAGCAGCUGUCACUUUUCCUCUCCAGCCUCCCACAUUAGACGAAGUGAACCUGUGGCUGCCCAGACGCCACAGACACGUUGAUGGGUGGGUCCCAGACUAGGUGUUCAUUGAUCAGUCUGGAAGGUCAGAGUCGGGUGGAGCGGGGGCGGCUAGAGGAAUGACGUGAAGGGUGACUGGGGGUCGACACUCGUCGUCUCUUUUCUCCACCUACCUUUGUGGCCAUCAAUGCUACAUCCCUUUUUUGCUCCUUACUUUCUCCCUUUGUCUUCCUCUGUGAAAUAAAUCAUUUUUUUAACACAAACUGACACAUUAUAUGUUAUGUGAUUAUUAAUAUUCCUGUCAGAAAAGCAUAUAAUUGGUAUAUUAAGUGAGGAGACGGUGAACAUAGCAAUCCUUGAUGCUUUUAUAUUUCUACAUAUAUGCUACUUCCCUUUCAUCUGA